GCGUAAUUUGAAAGGAAGUGCUCCGUAGAAUAGGAAUGUUUUUGUUUAUGUAUACAUUUCUUUGUCUAGUAACGUGUAAUCGUUAACUGCGUAGCUACUUGUGCCACCGGCUUGUGUGCCCCCCCUUCCCUCGCGACUAUGGAAGUUGCUCUGCGAAACUAAGGUACAAGGAGUCAUUUAGUCGUCUCAUUUCGUACCGAUAACAUGGAUAGCGUCGCGUCAGAGUCAGUGCAUCAAGAGGACAAAGCCUCUGCAGGAGCUCAAGAAUACAUAUUACAGCUUGAACUUCUUUGUCUUCUUUGGGAAUGCUCCAACGGUGGCUCAAAAGCCAAGAAUGUUAGGGUUUUCUAAG